GACGAACGCUGGCGGCGUGCCUAAUACAUGCAAGUUGAGCGAUGAAGAUUGGUGCUUGCACCAAUUUGAAGAGCAGCGAACGGGUGAGUAACGCGUGGGGAAUCUGCCUUUGAGCGGGGGACAACAUUUGGAAACGAAUGCUAAUACCGCAUAACAACUUUAAACAUAAGUUUUAAGUUUGAAAGAUGCAAUUGCAUCACUCAAAGAUGAUCCCGCGUUGUAUUAGCUAGUUGGUGAGGUAAAGGCUCACCAAGGCGAUGAUACAUAGCCGACCUGAGAGGGUGAUCGGCCACAUUGGGACUGAGACACGGCCCAAACUCCUACGGGAGGCAGCAGUAGGGAAUCUUCGGCAAUGGACGAAAGUCUGGCCGAGCAACGCCGCGGGAGUGAAGAAGGUUUUCGGAUCGUAAAACUCUGUUGGUAGAGAAGAACGUUGGUGAGAGUGGAAAGCUCAUCAAGUGACGGUAACUACACAGAAAGGGACGGCUAACUACGUG
rnacentral:rRNA from 1 species